rnacentral:lncRNA from 1 species
UACAUCUCGAGCCUAGUGGUGUAAUUCGCCGAGGCUGGCGGCUUACCCACUGGGAACUAUUGUUAAUAGUUCUCACGCCCUUUUGGUGGUUGUUUUUACAGAGCCUGUUACAGGAGAGGCUAGGGAUCGUGGCAAGGGAGUCGCGCCUAGCUAGGGACUACUAGGAGCGUGCUAGUCGAUCACCUUGCUACUCGGGCUACGGCCGAGGGUGAUGUCCAUAUAUAUAUAGAGAGACCACCAUUGUAUCUAUUCUUUUUGUACACCCGUGAUGUAUAUUUACUUUCGGGGUUGAGAUGAUAGUAGUGUUACUUCUCUUUUUGCUGUGAUCAUGGUUUGUAUACACUUUGGAUUUUGACUCGGAUUGGAUACUCGUUGUAUAUCGACUUGUACUUUGCUCUGAUAUCAGGAUAGGACUCUCUUGUUUUACUUCCUAUCGACUUACUUCUCGUAGACGCCUUAUAUACUGCAGGUGUAUGGCGGGUCUGUGCACGUGCCGGAUAUGCUUCCGCUGGUACCCGGGCGUGACAAUUAUUAAUGUUGUAAAGUAUGAUAAAUUAGCAGCGUAAAUUAGUGAAUGUCGCUGAAGUUUUCAGUAUUUUAUAAAAAAUGACAUUAAAUGCUUAUUGCUAAAUGCCGCAACAUUUAUUUAAAUCAUGCUAAUUAAUAUAUUUAACAAUAUUAUUUGAUAAUUGCCACUAGAUUUAAUAAUUUAGCAGUAAUUUAUUAUUAAUAUUGCCAAAAAGGAUAAAUUAGCAGCGUAAAUUAGUGAACACCGCUAAAUAUAAUAAAGUAGCAGCACUUAUUGCUAAAUAUCGUUACUAAUCAAUAUACAAUUAUUAGUAUAUUCCAUUUUUACUUAGAAUUAAAAAUUUUAAAUUAAAGUUUAAAAAUUCGAAACUUAUAAUUUUAAAAUUAAACUUAUAAUUUAAAAUUUAAAAUUUUAUAUUUUAAAUUUUAAAUUCUAAAAUUUUAAAUUUUAAUUUUAAAUUUUUAAAUUUUUAAAAUUUUAAAUUAAUUUUAAAUUUUAAAUUUCAAAUUUAAAACUAUAAAUUUUGAAACUUAAAAUUUAAUAUUUGAAAAUAAAAAAUUUAAAUUUAGUAUCUAAAUUUAGAAUUUAAAAUUUAAAAUUUUAAAAUUUUAAAAUUGAAGACUUAAAAUUUAAAAACUUCAAAUAUAUAUAACUGAUAGUUUCUAGCGCAAGUUGUAAAGGGCUUGGUGGUUGGUAUCCGAGGUCUCAAGUUCGAAUUCUAGUUGAUUCACAUUUUCAGCUAAGUUUAUUUCUAAAAGAAAUAAAUGAAGCGGGUAGCAUGCUACAUUUCUCUCAAAAAAAAAAAAAAUCAAAUAUAAAUAUAAAUAUAAAUUUAAAAAUUGGAUCUAAAAUGAAAUUAAAAUUUUAAAAUUUGAGUCCCUAAAAUCAGAUAUUUGUAUUAGUGGCAUUAUAUUUAUGUGUCACUAAUAAAUAACUUAAAAUUAGCAUUUAAUCCCUUUUAGCAGAAUGUUCCCAAUGACACUAAUUGAUUUACAUUGGCGGCAUUCAUUAUAAACAUUGCUAAUACUUUUAGAAACGGCAUAGGCAACAUUUGAUGUCAUAUACUGCUAAAACUUUUAGCGGUAUUCGUUGAUCUUUUAGUAGCGUAAAUAAAUGCCACUAAUGACUAAUUUUCUAGUAGUGAAUUUUUCAUAGUCGAUCAUACUUAGUGAAAUUAAUUAUUCUCCAAUAUUCACCUGUAUGCUUGCUUUAGUGUCAUCACACUAAUGAAUUUAGACUUGUCAUUUCAUAAGGAAAGCACAGCAUACAGUGACUAAACUAGAUUUAUCAUUGUCCUC